rnacentral:misc_RNA from 1 species
GAUGAAGAACGUAGCGAAAUGCGAUAAGUAAUGUGAAUUGCAGAUUUCAGUGAAUCAUCGAAUCUUUGAACGCACAUUGCGCCCCAUGGUAUUCCGUGGGGCAUGCCUGUUCGAGCGUCAUUUACCCCCUCAAGCUCCGCUUGGUGUUGGGCGUCUGUCCCGCUUCGCGCGCGGACUCGCCCCAAAGGUAUUGGCAGCGGUCGUGCCAGCUUCUCGCGCAGCACAUUGCGCUUCUCGAGGCACCGGUGGGCCCGCGUCCAUCAAGCUCACCCCCCCAGUUUGACCUCGGAUCAGGUAGGGAUACCCGCUGAACUUAAGCAUAUCAAUAAGCGGAGGA